rnacentral:rRNA from 1 species
GACGAACGCUGGCGGCGUGCUUAACACAUGCAAGUCGAACGGAAAGGCCCUGCUUUUGCGGGGUGCUCGAGUGGCGAACGGGUGAGUAACACGUGAGUAACCUGCCCUUGUCUUUGGGAUAACUUCAGGAAACUGGGGCUCAUACCGGAUAGGAGCUCCUGCUGCAUGGUGGGGGAUGGAGAGUUUCGGCGGUUGGGGCUGGACUAGCGGCUUAUCAGCUUGAUGGUGGGGUAGUGGCUUACCAAGGCUUUGACGGGUAGCCGGCCUGAGAGGGUGACCGGCCUCAUGGGGACUGAGAUACGGACCAGACUCGUACGGGAGGCAGCAGUGGGGAAUAUUGCACAAUGGGCGGAAGCCUGAUGCAGCAACGCCGCGUGCGGGAUGACGGCCUUCGGGUUGUAAACCGCUUUCGCCUGUGACGAAGCGUGAGUGACGGUAAUGGGUAAAGAAGCACCGGCUAACUACGUG